rnacentral:rRNA from 1 species
UUGGUCCUACUUUCGGUUUGGUUGUGGGAACAUUUCUCAGUUGGACGACCGAGAGUGAUUGGUCACGACGCCUGGGACGAUCAUGACAAUCCGCUACGGAAGCCUACAUGGGCGUACAAGUGGGAUGAGGUUUCGGAGUUCACUGGUGACCCAAACAGGAUGUACAGGGAGUACACCAAUGAGUUUGACACGCUAACCUCUGAGCAGGUAAUAAUUGUCAUGUUAAUAUUGAAAUUUCCAAGUUUGUCUGAGUUUUUUUAA